AUUGAACGCUGGCGGCAGGCCUAACACAUGCAAGUCGAGCGAGCGGCGGACGGGUGCGUAACGUCUGGGAAACUGCCUUAUGGAGGGGGAUAACUCCUGGAAACGGUAGCUAAUACCGCAUACCAUCAGAUGUGCCCAGUUGGGAUUAGCUAGUAGGUGGGGUAAUGGCUCACCUAGGCGACGACCCCUAGCUGGUCUGAGAGGAUGACCAGCGACACUGGAACUGAGACACGGUCCAGGCACCUACGGGAGGCAGCAGUGGGGAAUAUUGAACAAUGGGCGAAAGCCUGAUGCAGCCAUGACGCGUGUGUGAAGAAGGCCCUCGGGUUGUAAGGGACUUUCAGCGGGGAGGCGUUACCCGCAGAAGAAGCACCGGCUAACUCCGUGCCAGCAGCCGCGGUAAUUC
rnacentral:rRNA from 1 species